GGCGUGGCCUUUGUGGAAGGAGGCGUGGCUCCUGAGGAAAACGGCGCGAGCGACUCCGGAGUUUUUCACUCGUCGAGAGGGGAAAGGAGGCGUGGCCUUCGAGGCGAAGCGGAGAGAAGGGAGGGUGGGACGUCUGGUUGCCAUGGGUUCGCUUCCGGCGCUGCCAGGCGGAAGUGGAUGAAAUUCUGAGACUGGUUGACGUUUGGCGUCGUUGCCCUCGGGACGAGGUGAUUGAGAUCAGAACAACUCGCAGUGUCCUGUACUGUCUUCUUGCAAGCAGUCCUGUCAGGAUGAUUUAGAUCCAGCAGAAAACUAUUGUGAGACAGUUUUGAAAAAAAAAUUCUGCACUGACAGAUGUGAAAUUGAAGUCCUGUAAUAUUCUCUGAGAAACACAAUUGGAAUUGGCAGAGAUGGAGUAUUGUGGCUCAUGGCUUUUCUUGAGCAGCCUAGAUGGUUAGUAGCGAAAGCCGGACAUCCUCUCAAUGAGAUGGAAGAUUCUGCAAGAACCUUAAAGACUUGAGAAGAAUUAUCCUGGGAUCAGAAGACGAAGCUGCUUUCCUCUGUAGUAGUGCCGGGGCUAUAGGCAUAUUUUGCCCUGCUUUCCAGCAUAAGGGGAAUUGGACAGGCAGUUGAAAAAAAACACCUAUUCAGGUUUGCCCCCCUGCACUGAUUCUUCAAGGUGGAGUCUUUGAGGGGGGAGGGGGGUGCCAAGAGACCCCCCCUCCCCCAUGAGAGAGAUUUAGACUGGCCAUCCUACAGCUGUGGAAAAGUGCUACCUGCCAGGUUCUUGGUGAUUGCCUGAUGCCCAUUGAAGGAGAGAGCAGAAGAAGACAAGGUGGGGGCCUGUGCCUGUGAAGGAUGCUGAAGAAAAGCAGCCUGAUUCUCUGGGGCGUGGUGCUUUUUGUGGCUUGGCACGCCCUAAUCCUCUUCUUCCUGUGGACUCGGCCUCAGUCCUUUUCUGACCAUACUCGCCUCACCGAAGAGGUAAUUCGUCUGGCCCAGGACGCAGAGGUGGAACUGGAGCGCCAGAAGGACCUCUUGCACCAGAUCUACCGUUACAGUGCCCUUUGGAGCAGGAGAAAGGCGAAUGAGGCCCAGAGGCUCCGCCUCUCCGCCGCUGCAGCAUCCACCCAGCCUUCCACUAUUGCACCUUUGUCACGUCGCAGUCAGAUCUCCCCCGAUGCCAUUCUGCCGGUGAUUGUGAUUGCCUGUGACCGUAGCACAGUCCGUCGUUGUCUAGACAAGCUGUUACAUUACCGUCCUUCCAAGGAACGGUUUCCUAUCAUUGUGAGCCAGGACUGUGGGCAUGAGGAGACAGCCAGGGUCAUCGCCUCCUAUGGAGAUGCAAUCAUGCACAUCAAGCAGCCAAACCUCAGUGAUAUCCCUGUGCCCACUGACCACCGCAAAUUCCAGGGCUAUUACAAGAUUGCUCGACAUUACCGCUGGGCCUUGAGCCAGGUCUUUCGGACCUUCAAGUACCAAGCCGCCAUUGUAGUGGAGGAUGACCUGGAGGUCGCUCCAGAUUUUUUUGAAUACUUCCAGGCCACUUUUCCUCUCCUGCUAACGGACCCGAAUCUUUGGUGUAUCUCUGCCUGGAAUGACAAUGGCAAGGAACAGAUGGUCGAUGCGGCCCAUCCGGAGCUACUUUACCGUACGGACUUUUUCCCCGGGCUGGGCUGGCUUUUGCUCGCUGACCUCUGGGACGAGCUGGAGCCCAAGUGGCCCAAGGCCUUCUGGGAUGAUUGGAUGCGGCAGCCUGAGCAGCGGCGGGGCCGUUCGUGCAUCAGGCCUGAGGUGUCCCGUACCAUGACUUUUGGGCGUAAAGGUGUGAGCCACGGUCAGUUCUUUGACCAGUACCUGAAGUUCAUCAAGCUCAACGACCGCUUCGUGCCUUUCACCCAGAUGGACCUUUCUUACCUCAAGAAGGAUGAGUACGAGCGCUCAUUCCUUGCCCAAGUCUACGGUGCCCCUGAGCUGCGAGUGGAAGAGCUGCAGGGAAACCAGCGCCGGGAGCUGGGCACCGUCCGGGUGCAGUAUACCACCCGGGACUCCUUCAAGGCCUUUGCAAAAGCCUUGGGCGUCAUGGACGACCUCAAGUCGGGAGUGCCCCGUGCGGGUUACCAGGGCAUUGUCAGCUUCCUUUAUCGAGGACGCCGCGUUUACUUAGCACCUCCUUCAGACUGGACAGGAUAUGACCCCAGCUGGAGUUAGCAGCUGAUGAUCCUUAAGCAUGUUGGACCCUCGGGACAAAAGGGUGCUUGGAGUAGGGUAGGUGGGGGAGGACAAAACUCUUUGUUUGUUUGUUUCUUAUUUUCCUGUGUGGCAUUCGAGUGCAUUCCAGAGAUGAGGGGUGUUUUGUGCACUUAAAAUACUGGGGGCGGAGGGGUGGUUUGCCGGGGUUGGUCUGAUGCCCCGAAGAGAGGGAGAAAGGUAGAGCAUUCUGAGCUGUCUCAGUUCUGCCCCAUCUCCAGUGCCUAUUCUCCUUCUUGACAUGGGAGGUUGUCCACUCAUUGGAUCUACAGGGGCUCCUCCAAAUGUACACAUUUGGAGACCAAAGCAGCAGCUUUUCUUCCCAGCUUGGUUGAGUCAUCCUAGGCCUGCUCAACAUGUGAUCUGACGAGCCAGAUGCAUCUUAGUAUCCACGUAGCUUGGUCUGCUAGGGGCUUAAUAACUCACCUCUUUGUGUGAGUCAUUUUUAGGCAAGCAAAAAGGUAUCAUGCUCCUGACAGGCCACCAUACAUAGCUGAUAGCCUUCCAUCAGACUGACUGAUCACAGUUUGGGCAGAUUUAAACUAUAAGGAGAAAAUAAGGGCCAUUUCCCACCUGCUGGCUACCUGUUCUGUUUUCACCUGGGUUUUUUUUUUUUAAGGCCCAGAGAGCAGGGAAGCCCUGAGGUGAUCAGGAAGGAUCUUUGGAAGGACCAUUUUUAUUGACCAUAUUGGCCUUUUUUGUUUUUCCUUAAGUGUCUCGGAUACCUAAUUUCAUUAACCCUGCUGGAUGGAUUGAUAACAAUAGGACGUACACAUUGAUCAAUGUAAUGUGAUUGUCACUCAGGUGAGGAGAGGAGGGGAAGAGAGAGUGGAGUUUCUGCCUGCUUUUACCUGAGAAAUAAAGUGGAUUAGUGAGGAGAAGCAUGGGAAGCACGUUGCCUUUUUAUAGCUCCAUGUUGGGGCCUCUUAAUUUUUGCGUAAAUGAAGUAUGAGAGAGAGAUGGGCAUUUUCUUUUCACCCUUUUAAAAAAAUUGGUUACAUGGUGCAGUGGUUGUGGUUCUGUAUCUCUGCAGCUAGCAUUAACCAAAGCAUCUUCUUGUCAGCUGGAUUGUUCUCAAAACUCCAUCAGAUAAUCGAUAGUUGACAGCACAGCUGGAGGAAGCUCGGUUGGGCAAGCCUUACCUUAAGUCUCCUACAAAUCUAAUGUAUCAGGAUGAGGUCUUCAGCUUGCUGUGGAGGAGCACACAGACUUUCCAAGCUUUGUUGCAGUCUGAGAUGAAAAGAGACUCAGGCCUUUUCCAACUGGUGCCCGCCAAAUGUCUUGGAUUUCUCUGCCCAUCCUUCACAGCCAGGGUGGUGGGAUUUACUACCUAGAGAGCAUUAGUCUGAGGUGAGCUGCUACCGAGCUUCUCCACCUCUGUAUUAUCUCUGGGUAUAUACUUUUGCCACCACAGUAUAAUAACUAUGUCAUAUUUACGCAAAGGCUGGCUUAAUUAUUGCCUGUCAUAGAUGCCAUGACCUCUUUCCCGGGGAGCAAGGAGACGUGUCUCAUCACCUCAAGGCUGCCUUAAUCCUCCUUGGAGUGGGGGCUACUUCCUUCCUAAACCCAAUCUCAUGUUUUGAGUUGGUUGCCCCUCAGUGGCAUUUUCUUUUGACUGGUUACACUGGCUACUCUGUUUGAACUGGACACUGCCAUGUCUGUGGGAGAAGUAAGGUGGAGAAUUCUUGGGCAGCAGAGCAUGUUGGGGAAGGGGCUGUCCACAGCAAAGGGGCCCAGCCUUAUUCAAUGGUGCAGAAUCCCUCUUCUCCAUUUUUGCCUCUAGGAGGUGCUGAAGAGUUUCUCCAAGACCAUCUUACCCAGGUGGACAUGGAGAAGGAACUUCAGACCUUAUUUGGCCAAAAUUUCAGACCACACCAAAGGGAACCUAGACGCAAAGGACCAGCGCUUCUGCCACAGGUGGUUAGGAUGGAGGUGGUGAAGCAUCCACCUUUUGUUCUUCCACAAUUGCUUAGUAUUUGCCAGGUCCUCUGCUCUUCUUCCUCUUGUUUUGGAGUUGAUGUCACCUAACUGUAGGUCUCUGAAGCUUUCACUACUUCCCUGCCUGUUCCUACUGUCACGGGAUGGACACUUUUUUUAAAAAAAAAUCUAACCUUACUUUUUUGCAGAAAGAGUCUGCCUUGAGGACUUCUUCUACCCUUCCUGUCUCCAGCCUUGGUUUUGGACACCGUAGUUCCAUAAAACUAUAUCCACCACCUCUUGCCCAAACUCAAUCCUGUGGCAUGUUGUCUGUGCUUGUGUCUUGUCCUAGCUCAUGGGGCUCUUCCUUCCCUUUCCAUUCCAGACAGUGAUUAAAGCAAAGGCAUGGAAGGAGGAGACUAGCUGAGGUCCAUGGGGGCAGGAAUGAAGAUGUGAGUUAGUUAGCAAGAAACUGCGGUCUACACACCCACCCCUUUCUCCCCCCAAAGUCCUUCCACUCAUGAAACUGUCUGUUUUGAAAUAAGAACUGCAAAUAUGAUUGUGAAAAAUUGUUGUCACUUAAUUACAUUGUUUGAUGGAGAGAUGUUUUUAUGUCCAGAACUCAAUUGGUGAAAAAAAGUUUAAAGAUGCAAAAACUUAUUUUCCACAAUGAAAUAAACUGGUCCUUUUCAAACA